UGGGAUAUAGCCAAGUGGUAAGGCAACGGACUUUGACUCCGUCACUCGUGGGUUCAAAUCCCGCUAUCCCAGCCA
rnacentral:tRNA from 1 species